rnacentral:lncRNA from 10 species
UUGUAUAUCUUGUAUAGCUCCCAUCUCUGAUGAUGUUGAAAAAAAUCUCUGCCCUCUUUUUUUUUUUGAGAUAGGGACUCACUCUGUAGCCCAAGCUGGAGUGCAGUGGUGCAAUCUCACCUCAUGUGCAGCUUCAACAUCCUGGGCUCAAGUGAUCCUCCCCCUUCAGCCUCCCGAGUAGUUGGGAUUACAGGUGCACACCACCAUGCCCAGCUAAUUUUUGUAAUUUUUUGCAGAGACAUGGUUUCACCAUGUUGCCCAGGCUGGUCUCAAUCACCUGGGCUCAAUUGAUCCACGCACCUUGGCCACUCAAAGUGCUGGGACUACAGGCAUGAGCCACCUUGCCCGGCCUCUGCCCCUUCUUUUAUCCUAAGUUUUCUUACCAAGCUUUGGUCUGUGUCAACCUCCAGGAAGGGGAGUAGGAAGGAGGAAAAAGCUUCCUAUGUCUAAUCAUGUGAUUUGCCCACAUACCCCUAGCUGUUAAAUGCAGGAGCUGUUGGAGUUUAGGAAAGACCAAUCCAAUGCCAAAUCCAGACUCUCACCACCAUCCCCUGCUCCUUCUUUAAAAAUGAAGGAAGGCAUUUCCAUUCUUGAACACAGGAGAGAAAAUCACAUUUUCACAGGCUUUAGGGUUGAUGCCUUUUUAAGGCUUUGGUUGUCUGUAGAUCUGUGUAGGGAAAGAUUUUCUUUACUGAUUGGGGUCUCAGCUGAAUGGGAGCUUUGUCCACAUUGGUCACCACCCUCUUCUUUGACUGUGGAUGGGUAUAGUCCUCUGACUUAAAAUGGACACAGGGGGUCAGCCUACGGUGAGAUUGAAAGUUCACUCUGGCUUUUGGGAGGUCAGGGCCAGGGGCUCCAGGGGACUAUUUCUUUUCUUUUUUUUUUCUUUUUGAGAUGGAGUCUCACUCUGUUGCCCAGGCUGGAGUGCAAUGGCAUGAUCUCAGUUCACUCCAAUCUCUACUAUCUCUACUUCCUGGGUUCAAGCAAUUCUCCUGCCUCAGCCUCCUGAGUAGCUGGGAUUACAGGUGACUGCCACCACACCUGGCUAAUUUUUGUAUUUUUGGUAGAGACGGGGUUUCACCAUAUUGGCCAGGCUGAUCUCAAACUUUUGACCUCAGGUAAUCCGCCCACCUCAGCCUCUCAAAGAGCUGGAAUUACAGGCUUGAGCCAGCAGGCCUGGCCUCCAGGAGACUAUUUCUAAAGGUCAGGGAAUCUGGUGGAAUGCAGGAGUGGAGAUGGCAGAGGUAGUGGGUGGCACUGGCCUUUGGGACCUGUGUGAGUGUGGCUGUAGUGCCUGUCUCAAAAGUGAAGAGACUAAAGAUUCACAUCAAAUGUUCAGCCUGGGACCUGGGACAAGCAGAUGCUUAGUCCAAGGCCUAGUGACUCUCACUGUCCCUGGAUUGCAGUCACCUUGGUACACACAGAGUCCAUCAGACAAUGGAAUUCUGCAAGCUUGAUCACUGUGAUGCUGCUUGUGGUCUUCACAGCUAUUGCCUUUGUGGUGCCACUCUUGAUUCCUAAAUGCUGACUUGGUGCAGUGGGCUAAGGAACACCCUAGGAAAUGGGUUGUGUCCACACAUGGGCUGGGACUGCAGAUAGGGAAGAGUGUGCUUCUGGGGCAUAACCAGCAGGAGCCCAAGCACAAACGUGCCCACCUGCAUGGGAAGGUGAGGCGGAGAGAAACCAACGCUGGUGCCUUCCGGAGAGGCAGGGGCCAUCCAAAGAGUGUCACCCACCAGGGCUUCUUUUGCAACAUGGCUUUGCCACAUCUACUUGCUGGGUGACUUUAGGGCCAUAACUUUACCUCUCUGAAACUCUUUUGUCAACCGUAGCUCCUUUAAGAAUUCUUAGGAGGCUGGGCUCAGUGGCUCAUGCCUGUAAUUCUAGCACUUUGGGAGGCUGAGGCAGGUGGAUCACCUGAGAUCAAGAGUUUGAGACCAGCCUGGCCAACAUGGUGAAAC